rnacentral:lncRNA from 1 species
CAGCAGCCGUUGGAUGUGUGCACACCGCGCACGUCCCAUUCGCACGCACACACAUCCCAUCUGCAUGCACGCACGCACGGGACGUGCACUCUGCGCGUACAAAGCGGGUAUAGGCCUCCAAGUGUCUUGUUUCGCGCAGGCAGGCUGUCUGUGCAUCACCUUGCAUGCGGACAAGUGGCACACACUGUGAGCGUGCCGUUUGCACAGCAGGCCUAUGCAAAUAGGCCCUACACGCCUGAGGCCUGCAUGCGGGGUAUAACACCUCGU